rnacentral:rRNA from 1 species
GACGGAGGAUGCAAGCGUUAUCCGGAAUGAUUGGGCGUAAAGCGUCCGCAGGUGGCAAUUCAAGUCUGCUGUUAAAGCGCAGGGCUUAACCCUGUAAAGGCAGUGGAAACUGAAUAGCUAGAGUAUGGUAGGGGUAGAGGGAAUUCCCAGUGUAGCGGUGAAAUGCGUAGAUAUUGGGAAGAACAUCGGUGGCGAAGGCGCUCUGCUGGACCAUUACUGACACUCACAGGACGAAAGCUAGGGGAGCGAAUGGG